rnacentral:lncRNA from 1 species
UAGAAAAAACACAAAUCAGAAACACUAGGUUGGACUUUGUCACUUUGAAUUUUGACCUGCCCUUCAGGUGAUUCUGGGGGAAUUUGGGAGCCAACACAAAUAUGAAGUACCACUUACUUGCCCAUUUGCUCAUUUUCUCAGACUACUGGCUUGCUUCGUAGUGCUAAACAUGACAUUUCUUAUCAUCCCCCAGAGCUAAGCGGAUCAAGGUGGUCUUCUGUGAUUCUCCAGUUCAGUAAGAAGCCAUAUGCUAAAUUGAGAUCCCAAAAAGCUGCAGAGGUGGUGUAGAGGCUGUACCUGGCCGCCGCGACCUAGACAAGACCACAGAGAAUCAAAGCAGGAGCCCAACCCAGUGUCACUCCAGCCACUGACCAGCAGGCUGAGCGCUCAGCCUAUCCCAGUAUCCCUCCCAGCUAGGAUCCACGGGACCCCGAGUCCCAGCUCUCUGUGUGCUAAGCUGAAACAGCCACCAUCUGUCCUGUGUGUCCAUGAUCCUGAUGAGCACAGACAACUGUCAGAGAGAUCAUCCUUCAGUGUGGGCCUGGGCUUUCCUCGGGAGUCUGGCUGGACACUUGGGCCAAGCAGUUCCAGAAAAGACCCUCUUACUGUCAGAUUCUCUCCUGUGUGAUACAUUGAGAGCUUUAUCUUUAAAAAUAUAUGGGCCCAAAACUUGGAAACAGCCUAAUUGCCCAACAACUGGAGACGGUACAAAGAAGAUGUGGCUUUUCUGUAAAAUGGAGUACUACACAGCCAUAAAGAAUGAGAAACUAGAGUCAUUUAUAAGGUAAAUGGGUGCAUAUUGAGGCCAUACUCUUAAGUGAAAUAAAUAGCACACACUUGUAUAAAUACUGAAUAGGUCAUCUGAUGUGAAAAACUAAAAGUGUAAAUGAGGUUCAAAUUAUAUAACUGAUAGUGUGAAAUAGGAAAAAAAAUGGCUGAAGGAGUAGGGGAAUUGUGAAAGGCAGGGGAAAGGAAAGAAG